AAAUUCUGCCCUAUGAAUAUUUAAAUGGCUGCAGUAUCUUAACUGUACAAAGGUAGCAUAAUAAUUAGUUUUUUAAUUGAGGACUGGAAUGAAAGAUUAAAUGAGAAAUUUAUUUUAUUAUUUUUAUAUUUUAAAUUUUAUUUUUAAGUAAAAAAGCUUAAUUUUUAUUUUGGGACGAAAAGACCCUAUAGAACUUUAUUUAAAUUAUAUUAAUUGUUAUAAAUUUUAAAUUAUUAAUUUAAUUUAAAUUUUAUUGGGGUGAUUAAUAAAAUAAACUUUAUUUUUUUUAAUCAUUGAUUUAUGAUUAUUUUGAUUUAAAUAUAUAAUUAAAGAUUUAGUUACCUUAGGGAUAACAGCGUAAUUUUUAUGGGGAGUUCAUAUCUAUAUAAAAGUUUGCGACCUCGAUGUUGAAUUAAGAUAAAUUAAUAAAGAAAAAUUUAUUAUAUUAAGUCUGUUCGACUUUUAAAUUCUU
rnacentral:rRNA from 1 species